rnacentral:rRNA from 1 species
CCAGACUCCUACGGGAGGCAGCAGUGGGGAAUUUUCCGCAAUGGGCGCAAGCCUGACGGAGCAACGCCGCGUGAGGGAGGAAGGCCUGUGGGUUGUAAACCUCUUUUCUCAGGGAAGAAGUUCUGACGGUACCUGAGGAAUCAGCAUCGGCUAACUCCGUGCCAGCAGCCGCGGUAAGACGGAGGAUGCAAGCGUUAUCCGGAAUUAUUGGGCGUAAAGCGUCCGUAGGCGGUUCAGAAAGUCUGCUGUUAAAGCUCACAGCUCAACUGUGAAUCGGCAGUGGAAACUUCUGGACUAGAGAGUGGUAGGGGUAGAGGGAAUUCCUAGUGUAGCGGUGAAAUGCGUAGAUAUUAGGAAGAACACCAGUGGCGAAGGCGCUCUACUGGGCCAUUACUGACGCUGAUGGACGAAAGCUAGGGGAGCGAAAGGGAUUAGAUACCCCUGUAGUCCUAGCUGUAAACGAUGGACACUAGGUGUUGGCCGUAUCGACCCGGUCAGUAUCGAAGCAAACGCGUUAAGUGUCCCGCCUGGGGAGUACGCACGCAAGUGUGAAACUCAAAUGAAUUGACGG